ACAGCCGCGGUAAUUCCAGCUCCAAUAGCGUAUAUUAAAGUUGUUGCAGUUAAAAAGCUCGUAGUUGAACCUUGGGUCUGGCUGGCCGGUCCGCCUCACCGCGUGCACUGGUCCGGCCGGACCUUUCCUUCUGGGGAGCCUCAUGCCCUUCACUGGGUGUGCUGGUCAACCAGGACUUUUACUGUGAAAAAAUUAGAGUGUUCAAAGCAGGCCUAUGCUCGAAUACAUUAGCAUGGAAUAAUAGAAUAGGACGUGUGGUUCUAUUUUGUUGGUUAUAGGACCGCCGUAAUGAUUAAUAGGGAUAGUCGGGGGCAUCAGUAUUCAAUUGUCAGAGGUGAAAUUCUUGGAUUUAUUGAAGACUAACUACUGCGAAAGCAUUUGCCAAGGAUGUUUUCAUUAAUCAGGAACGAAAGUUAGGGGAUCGAAGACGAUCAGAUACCGUCGUAGUCUUAACCAUAAACUAUGCCGACUAGGGAUCGGGCGAUGUUAUUAUUUGACUCGCUCGGCACCUUACGAGAAA
rnacentral:rRNA from 1 species